rnacentral:rRNA from 1 species
AGCGAACGCUGGCGGCAGGCUUAACACAUGCAAGUCGAGCGGGCAUCUUUGUGGUGUCAGCGGCAGACGGGUGAGUAACGCGUGGGAACGUGCCCUUCGGUUCGGAAUAACUCAGGGAAACUUGAGCUAAUACCGGAUACGUGCGAGAGCAGAAAGGUUUAUCUGCCGAAGGAUCGGCCCGCGUCUGAUUAGCUAGUUGGUGAGGUUACGGCUCACCAAGGCGACGAUCAGUAGCUGGUCUGAGAGGAUGAUCAGCCACACUGGGACUGAGACACGGCCCAGACUCCUACGGGGGGCAGCAGGGGGGAAUUUUGGAAAAGGGGGGCAACCCUGAUCCAGCCAGGCCGGGGGGGGGAUGGCGGCCUUAGGGUUGUAAAGCUCUUUUCCCCGGGACGAUAAGGACGGUACCGGAGGAAUAAGCCCCGGCUAACUUCGU